CAAUGGUAAUUUAUUGCCAUGACAUCUCUGGUCCUAGGUGUAGGAGGGGACUUGGAUCCUUUUCCUUCAAUGAGGAAUGGAGAAAAGAAGACCCCAGAAGCACAGCAGUUUCUCAAGACCACAGGACCAAUCUGAAAGAAGCUAGUGUUGGAAGAGGGCAAGUCUUAAAGGAUUUAGGAGGAUGCUUAUAAAAUAAGAGAAAGACACAGAGAGCAGGAAGACGGUCUCUCUACAUAGAACGCUACUUCUCUGUAGCUGGAACUAGCAUGCAUCGGACCCUGAGGUUGAUCCCAGUAAGAGGAGGAAGAGGGAAGAGAGAGGAGAGAGAUGGGAAAUGACUCAGAGUGGAGACUAAUGUUCAGGGUAUUUUACCACAGCAACCGAAAAGAAGUUGGAGCACAGCCUUCACUUGGAGUAACAGAGAAGCCAAGGCAGCGUUCAGUUGGUGCAACCGA
rnacentral:sRNA from 1 species